GACGAACGCUGGCGGCGUGCUUAACACAUGCAAGUCGAGCGGUAAGGCCCUUUCGGGGGUACACGAGCGGCGAACGGGUGAGUAACACGUGGGUGACCUGCCCUCAGCUCUGGGGUAAGCCUGGGAAACCGGGUCUAAUACCGGAUAUGACUCCAUGACGCAUGUUGUGGGGUGGAAAGCCUUGUGCGGCUGAGGAUGGGCCCGCGGCCUAUCAGCUUGUUGGUGGGGUGAUGGCCACCAAAGGCGACGACGGUAGCCGGCCUGAGAGGGCGACCGGCCACACUGGGACUGAGAC
rnacentral:rRNA from 1 species